rfam:Danio rerio unplaced genomic contig NA980, GRCz11 reference primary assembly.
GCCUGCCUAGCUCAGUCGGUAGAGCAUGAGACUCUUAAUGUCAGGGUCGUGGGUUCGAGCCCUACGUUUGGCG